UGCCUACGGGAGGCAGCAGUGGGGGAUAUUCACAAUGGGGGAAACCCUGAUGCAGCGACGCCGCGUGGGCGAAGAAGUAUCUCGGUAUGUAAAGCCUUAUCAGCAGGGAAGAAGAAAUGACGGUACCUGAGUAAGAAGCACCGGCUAAAUACGUGCCAGCAGCCGCGGUAAUACGUAUGGUGCAAGCGUUAUCCGGAUUUACUGGGUGUAAAGGGAGCGCAGGCGGCACGGCAAGCCUGAUGUGAAAGCCCGCGGCCCAACCGCGGGACUGCAUUGGGAACUACCGGGCUGGAGUGCCGGAGAGG
rnacentral:rRNA from 1 species